CUCGGCAGAUUGUGAUCAAUCAAGACAAGGCAAACAUGGCUCACAAUUUUGAACUGCUGUGCCGUCUUGCAAGAGAGUGAGAUUCAGCAACACAUAGAAAGACCACAGCAUGGAUUAAGAGACAGGAAGAAUCCAUUUGAAUACUACGAGGAUGAACCCCUCAGAGUGGGGUACCAACAGAGAGGACCACACAUUGCCUGUCAUGUUACAGGUUUUGACAGGACUUUGUUUUUAUGCCAUUGGUACCUUUUAGAAGAUGCAAGCAGACGAAGCAACUAUAUCACAGUCAUCCGUGUGCAGAAUCAUCAAAGAUUUUUCUGAGGCAAUAGCAAGGAGUAAUAGUUAAUGA